CAAUAGCGUAUAUUAAAGUUGUUGCAGUUAAAAAGCUCGUAGUUGAAUUUCGGGUCCCCGCGCUCGACGCUUCAUUGUGCCGUCGUGGUGUCCCUCCUCGCCGUAAGGCGUCCUUUACUGUGAAAAAAUUAGAGUGUUCAAAGCAGGCAAUCGCUUGAAUACAUUAGCAUGGAAUAAUAAGAUAGGAUCUUGUCUAUUUUGUUGGUUGCGGACAACGAUAAUGAUUAAUAGGGAUAGUUGGGGGUGUCCGUAUUGAGCUGUCAGAGGUGAAAUUCUUGGAUUUGCUCAAGACGAACUACUGCGAAAGCAUUCACCAAGGAUGUUUUCAUUAA
rnacentral:rRNA from 1 species